rnacentral:rRNA from 1 species
CCUACGGGAGGCAGCAGUGGGGAAUAUUGGGCAAUGGGCGCAAGCCUGACCCAGCAACGCCGCGUGAAGGAAGAAGGCUUUCGGGUUGUAAACUUCUUUUCUUAGGGACGAAGCAAGUGACGGUACCUGAGGAAUAAGCCACUGCUAACUACGUGCCAGCAGCCGCGGUAAUACGUCGGUGGCAAGAGUUAUCCGGAUUUACUGGGUGUAAAGGGCGUGUAGGCGGGACUGCAAGUCAGAUGUGAAAACCACGGGCUCAACCUGUGGCCUGCAUUUGAUACUGUAGUUCUUGAGUACUGGUGAGGCAGGCGGAAUGCAUGGUGUAGCGGUGAAAUGCGUAGAGAUUAGAAAGAACACCAGUGGCGAAGGCAGUCUACUGAACAACAACUGACGCUGAGGCGCGAAAGCGUGGGGAGCAAACAGGAUUAGAUACCCUUGUAGUC